rnacentral:tRNA from 1 species
UUUAGCUCAGUGUCACAGCACCUGCCUGGCAAGCACAAGGUCCUGAGUUCAAUCCUCAGAA